ensembl:rRNA 5S_rRNA 5S ribosomal RNA
GCCAGCAGCCAUAUCACCCUGCAACUCACAACUGGCAGCCCACUAAAGCCAAGCAGGUGUGAGCCUGGUCAGUACCUGGAUGGAGACCUAAUGGGAAAACUAAGGUUGCUGCUGGAA